rnacentral:rRNA from 1 species
GAUCAUGCUCAGGAUGAACGCUAGCGACAGGCCUAACACAUGCAAGUCGAGGGGCAACAUGGUAUCAGCUUGCUGAUACCGAUGGCGACCGGCGCACGGGUGAGUAACGCGUAUGUAAUCUACCUGUAACAGAGGGAUAACCCGGAGAAAUCCGGACUAAUACCUCAUAGCACAUAUUAUUCGCAUGAAUUUUAUGUUAAAGAGACUCGGUUACAGAUGAACAUGCG